UUUAAUAAUAUUUUAAACGAUUUAUAUAUUUUUAUAUGACAUUUUUGGUUUGGUUAUGCUCAUAGAAUGCAUCUACGAAAUAUGAGGCACAUAAAAUGUGAUAGCUGGAUAUUAUCGAAAAUAUCAGUAACACAAAAACGUGUUGUUAAGACAACUUGAAGUAUUGUAGGGAGCACAAUUUUUCGUAUAAUUAAGUUCAAAAUUUUUUAUAAUCAAGGUUGUCACCUUUCUUUUAUAUAGAACUAUAUAUAUUUUGAUAUACGUCGGUGUAGUCCACAUUAAAAUCAGUUCAACGAUUAUAAUCACUCGAGGACAAAAUUACUUUUAUAGAAAUGUUUGGAAUCUUGAACUGUAAUAAUCAUUCGUGAAUUGGUGUUUUGCUUAUAAUCUUUUGUUAAAAUCAUAUUUAAUAUUAGAUAUUAAAUUUUGUAUGAUCAUUUUUAUGGUGAUAUCUACAUAGUAGAGGAAGUAUAGCUCGCGAUAUUAUAAUGCAUGGAAAUCUCUCACUCUUAAUUAAAGCCUAUAUAAUACAAAUUAUAAGAAAACGAAAUUCGCAAACAGGAUACAAAACAAAAGGAGCAAAAGGUUGCCAGUAAAGCUGACAAAAAUAGAUAAUUUACAAUACGCAACAUGCUCAGGGUCGGCCAUUUGUUAAUUACGAGUCAGACAUAUAGGAAACAUUCGAUAAUUGCACAACUGCACAAAAAGAUUCCCAGCAUAAUUGCACAGUUGUCAUUCCUACUAUAGGAGCAAGUUCGCCUAACGCACCUCGAAAGUCGAUGGCUCAUCGCGGUUAAGUAAUGUAACAUUGUUCAAUGUGGGAUAUCGCUGAGAUAAUAUAUACAGAUACCAAUUCAAAAGUACUUUUUUAUUGUCGACUUUUUUUAAAUUAAACUUUUACUAACAUAUCUGUAUGAUCUGAUUAAAAUGAGAUCAAACACGAUAUAAUUUGAAUUAUAUGUACUUACUGAUAUGUAUUUAAUUAUCAUUUAUUAAGGAGGCAAAUAUGCUCCAAAUCAUAACGUGUUCGGUGUCAUUUUAAUCAGAAAAAUGUAAGAAACAUAUUGGUUAAAGUUUCAUCGAUCACAAAUCUAAAAUAAGAAAGUUUGAUUUUUGAGAUAAAAGUAUUAGCUUAUCGCGGGCCUUUAACAUUAGCUGAAUGCUUUGACUUUCAGUCCCUCUUUCUCUUUGACUCGCGUAGUCCUUUUCUAUGUUCAAAGAUUUCUAAGAUUUCAGUUUCGAGGAAUAGGAGCAUUUUUACCUCUACAUAAUUGCAACAUUUGAAUUCCGAUUUUUGUGCAAUUAUUGAAUGUUUUAUGACUAUUUGGCUUGACUUUAUUUUCGAACGUGACAAGAAAGAAC